GGCUUUCAAACGUGGCAUGUUCCUAGCUAGCAUAACAUAAAGAAGGAGAAGCAAAAUCUACACAAGUAUUAUUUGUAUUUUAUAUAUAUGAUUGAAAACAUAUUUUGCUACUGAAAUUACAUUGAUUCAAGUAUCCAUGUUAACAUCCAUGGCAAUAAUACAAAAAACAGGAACUACAGAAGCGUUCUACACGAGACAUACUCGGUGUAGGCCAACGCAACCAAACCCAACAUGGCAAAUCUACCGUUCCACAUCUCUGCAUCAGAUGUCAUGACGCCCUCUGACCUGGAUUCCGCGCUUACCCCUUUGAAUAGUGGGAUCAAAGACGCGACAGAGAGCAGAAUACUUGUUCCGACGAACCACGAGACUCCACCGUUAGAUAUCUGAGAGAAAAGGUCUUGGCCCUUGGACAGUUCCACUGCCAUUGCAGCGACAAAGCCUAUCAUGGCAAGCCUGCCAUUGAUCCUCUCUGGUGCGGGUCCGCUAAAUGCGAACAAAUCAAGGAAGUUUGUGCUAACCUGUUAAUCACAGUCAUACGGGCGUUUACAUUAGAAGUGGAAGCAUAAAUGCAAUCACAAAGUCCUUACUCUACUUAAAUGGUUCAAACUAAACAUUUCCGAAACAAAUCGUGCCGUAUAAUUAAUCCUGUACCUUUGGCUUAGGAGUAGAACCUGACUCUGCUAUCUUCUUGAUCUGGUCAUCCUGCAAAUUGAAUCAAAUGUUAACACAAUCCUAAGAACCAUCACCCAAAGUAUACACAGAGGAAGUCGAAAUAGAUUCCAAACUCACCAGCUUGGCCUUGCACUGCACCCGUUUGCUAGCACUGCCACGUAGUCGUGGCACAUACGUAGCAGAAAACAAGUUGCUCACUCGAGACCGGUUUUUCAGCAGACUACUGGCUACUGGAGUUGCAAGGACGGUCUGCAUGACAGUUGAUGUGGCCAUCACUUAGAACAAUGUUUAUCUGUGAAAGCUAUUCUAAUGCUAGAGGCAACGUUCGUAAGGGAUAUCAUACCAGUGAGUUGAAGCUCGAGCUAUUUGCUUUGUAAUGAUAAUUAAUGUAUCUGACAAAGGUCUGGUAGGCUGUUAUAUAGCCGAUGGGGCAAGCGAGGAGAGGGCAUUUUGCUUCCACGUCAUCUAUAUCUAAUUAAAAAGCUGAUUGGAUCACGUGGGUUCGGUUGUCCUCACAUGGUCAAUUGGGUUACGUGGCCUCCUCACAGUCACUAGUGGAUCCCCACCCCGUUUAAGAACCUGAGGCCAAUGUUGUUCUAGGUUUUCCAGCUGAGCAGCGACCACGGCAUAGUAAUCGAACUGGGCUCAGCCACGAUUUUACCGCAUUAAUUUUACACGUUCCAAAUAACACAGUUAAAUGGAAUAUAUAAUUUGUCGACAUGAUUCUUCUCUAAUGAUAUUUUAGAAGGUGAUUGAUGAUAGUUUUUGUCUUUUCACUCCUACUUCUUAUCCUAAUCUUUUCUUUGUCAACUGAGCUAAUUUCAUUCUCAUAUUUUUAUCUUUGUCUCUUUCAAUAUAUUGAAAAGUUUUUCUUUUUCUCCUCAAUUAUCUAAUAUAUUACAAAGCUUUUCUUUUCUUCUAGUUGCCUAUUAAUUUCUCACAAAAACAUUUAAAGGCAUCUUCGGAUAUUUGCUGGGAUGACACAACAUCAUUCCAAUAUCCUUUCGAAUACAAGCUAAAUAAUAUUUGAAAUGGUAAAUAUCUCAACUGAAAAUUUUCAAAUAAUAAUUGCAUUGAACUUUUCUUGAAUUCUUAUUAAUAUCUAUAUCAUGUUGCCAUCUUACAUCAAGUCUAUUGCCAUUAAUAGUUUUUUUAGAUGCCUUGUAUCUUACAAUUCAAGAAUCAAUUCAAAUCAAUUCUAAAAUUAAAAUCUCAAACAUUUACUUUUACUUCACAUUGCAACUCAAUAAGAAACUUGAUAAAAAGCAUGUGCAACCCUCAAUUUCUUUAUUAUUUUUACUUUGAUUCCUCUAUUUUUUGGAUAGAUCAACUCAUUUACUUUACUAUUUACAAGAAAUGAGUCCUUUUCAAUUUUAACAGGUCAUUUAAUAUUAAUUACUCUAUUAUUUAAUGUUAAUUUACAACUUGUAUUUUAUAGAUUUGUCAGUUAAAACAGAGAAAUACCAAAUUUUUAUUCACAUAUUUCUCCAAGUAUUUGAAUUGAUUAUAGAUUUAUUUCCCAUUGAAACUUUAAAGAGAGAAAAAAAAUUAGAGAACACAAAAGAAUGCAUCUUAUGUUUAAUCAAAACACAAAACUCAAUAGAGCAAGAACAAAGAGAGAAGUGACAUUAACAUUUAAAAUAAAUAAAUAAAUAAAUAUUUUGAUUGUUAUUUUGAAGGCAUUUCAUUGUCGUUGCAAGGGAGAACCCGAUUUCUUCAGAAGGCUACAAGAUAGCAUCUUUAUAAUGAUGCAUUAAAGAAAAUUAUUCAAUUAUUAAUUAAUUAUAUGUUUCAAAUUUAAGAUGAUAACUUUGAAUCUAAUUACAUUUUUAUGUGACCUUCUACCUAAUUUCUUUCCCCUUAUGGAUUCUAAAUAUAAGACAAGCCUAGACUAUUCGUUGUAAUCAAUUGACCACUUCACAAAGUUACGACAAAAUCCAAAACAAUUUAUGCUUUCUAUUGUUUUAGUUUUUUUAUAUUUUCAUAUUAAAAAACUUAUUAUUAUUUGAAAUGUCAUCAAUGGAUGAUUUUACUCAAUAAUAUUUUUAAAAUAAUUUUUAAAUGCAAUGUAAUCACAUUAUCAAAAGGAAGAUAAAUGUGUAAUUGGGAUAAUGAACUUAUAAUUCAGAUGAAAAAUUGUUAUAUCUAGUAAUUAUUUAAAUUGUUUAAAUAUUUUUAAACAUUAUUACUUCAGGAUGAUCAGGGUGAUUUCCCCCUUUUUAAAUCAAAUAACAACAAAUUGAAAAUUUUUAAUUAUUGCUUUAGUUUUUUCUAUAUUUUCAUAUUAAAAAACUUAAUAUUAUUUGAAAUGUCAUCAAUUGAUGAUUUUACGUCUUCAAUUAUAUUUUAAAAAUAAUUUUUAAAUGCAAUGUAGUCACAUUAUCAAAAGGAAGAUAAAUGAGUAAUUGGGAUAAUGAACUUAUAAGUCAGAUGAAAAUUUGUUAUAUCUAAUAAUUAUUUAAAUUGGUUGGAUGAUUUAAAAAAUUUGUAAAACCAUUGUUGUAUUGGCAUAUAAUUAUGUUCAUAGAGACAAAUUUAGAAUUUGUUAAUAAAAAAAACCAAAAUGCAUAGUCUUGUUGUCGGGUGGCUAUUACAUAAAAAUAACUUUAAAAAUAAAGUACAUUCAAGGAUGAUUUUGUAAACAUCUCAAACUUUGAGGAGCCAGUGCCACCCUUAGCCUCCCUCUAGAAUCAUCUCUACAUGUGCAAGUGUUUGUUAGGCCUUUUGGUACAUUAUAUAACAUGUAUUUUAUAGGAUGCCUUGGUAUAAUUGCUUUUAUCCUUGCCCUGUGAUUAUCAUUUGGAAACCUGAAAACCAUUGCUAUAUUGGUAUGCUAUCUAUUUUGAUUCUAGCCAAAUAAAUGAAUUUUUUUUCUUGUAGAUACCCUUUUCUUGGUAGAAUAUUACAUUUGCUGCCUCAUUAUUUCAUCAUCAAAUGCAAUAUCAAUUUUAACUUUUUUCUCUUUUUAACUAAUUUGAUUAAGUCUCUAGUCUUUAGAUUAUAUAAUGUCAACAAAAUUGAAUGUCAUAUCUCGCUAAACAACAUUGAAUCAUGAUUGCCAAAUUCUUUCAAAAAACAACAUGUUUUAUGAUCCAAAUCACCCAUUAUAGAUUAUGGUAUAUUUAUGUAUCGAAUCGUUGUAUGAUAUAGGGUCGGGAUCUAGAAAGACAAUGAUCCAUAUCACCCAUUAUAGAUUAUGAUAUAUUUAUGUAUUGAAUCGUUGUGAUAUGAAACCUGGAUCUAGAAAGACAAUGACCCAUAUUUUUCAAAAUAAGAAAACAAGUGAAAAAAAAAUUAAAAAAGAAAAUAGUAGUGGUAGUAUUAAACAUUAAAUAUCGAGAAUGAUACAAAACACAAAAUUAAGUGAUGGUGAUAGCUAAAAGUUAGACCCCGUUUGGGAACACGGUGCAAACCGUGUUUCCUUAAAUUUUAAAUUUUUUAUUUUGUCUAAAAUGAUUUUUUAUAUAUAUUUUUAAAUUAUUUGAUGUACUAAUGUCAAAAAUAAUUUUUAAAAAUAAAAAACUUUAUUUAAAUGCAUUUCUAAACGAAAAGUACUUUGAACCGUCAUCACUAUCAUAAUCUCAAAUAUACCCUUAAAGAGUUAAGGCAGUAUACUAAUGUUAGAAAAGAAAGCUAGACAAUAUACUAAGUUAGAGACUUGCUAUGUUGAAAUUUAAUGUUGGGCUAUAUGUUUUCUAGACCAAUACAUUAUAAUUAUAUCUACUUCAUGUUUUAAAAAUUUAGGUAACAUGCUCUUUUUAGUGGUGUCACACCUGGAUAUCGCGACGACCGAUUAAAAAUCAUCACUCGAUUGAAAUAAAAAACACAUAUCAAGCAUUUUGUUCUUUUUAGGGAAAAAAGUCUUGUUCUAGAAGAUACCACCUAGUAUUAUAGUCAUUAGGAACCCUAACUGGUCAACAAAGAUUCUAUAGUACGGGACUGGUUACCAAAAAAAAAAAGACGUUAUCACCCCUUAAGAGUCUUAUCUGAAGCAAGUUGUAUUGCUGAUUUUGUUUAAAAUUGCUAAGAGUUUGUUCUCUUUUUCCUCUUUUAUUCUUCCUUUCAUGUUCCUGACCCUGACGUCAGUGAAUAAUUCCUACGAACAUUUUCAACUCUGGUGUUGGUAAAUAUCGUGCAAAUCCAAAAAAUACGAUACUCCUGACUCUAGCGUCAAUAAAUAAUUUCGCAAAAAAUGAACUUGAAGAAGAAAUUUUCUAUGUCAUUUUUUUCUUAUUUAUCCUUUACUAUUAUCCACCCUUUUUAGAUGAAAAAAAAAAUUGCGCGACAUAUUUGCAUUUAACAAUAAUAAUCCACAGAUUGAGCACAUAGCUAAAAAAAUACAAAUACAAAGGAAAACAAAUAAAACAAAGUGUGAGGGGCCCACAAAUAAAUCAACGAAGACCUCCAAAUAUUUUUGAAAUUUUAUGUUUCAUUUGGCCAAAUAUCAAAUUAGAAUGGGUAUAAAAAUUAUGGUCAAGGCAUAAGAGUGUGUUUGGCAAAACAUACCCUUAACAAAUACAAUUUGGGCCAGCUGGGCCACAAGCCCAGACCCGGCCAACUUUUCCUUUUUAACUUUUUUUUGGGCUGGGUCUAGCCCAACCAUCGAGGCUGAUCUAAACCCAGCGGCCCGGCCCAGUUACUGGUUCAGACCAGUAACCCGACUGGUUUAAUCCUUAGCUGCAAGCGUGCGAGGGCUAUUCACGCCUCACGCACGCUACAGAUCCUAGGUAAUUAAAUAGCAAAAUGAACAGUCUUAUGAAUUAAAAUGAUAGCGGGGAAAGACAGAAGACUUACCUGGUUUGCAGAGAAUUCGCGUGAGAUUGCAGAUGCUGGACGAAGCUCCCGUCUUCAAGUUCUCUCCCGUUUCUUGUUCUUUCCUGCUCUCACUCUCUCGUCUCUUCUGUUUCUCUUUUGUUUUUGUUUUUUUUCCUCUUCUGGAUACUCUCCUUUUCUUUUCUUCCCCCUGUUCUCUCCCGUUUUUCUCCCACUGUUUUCUGCGUUUUUUCAUCUCUGUUUCCCUCCUCCCCUUCUGGCUUCUCCUUUCCCCUUUUUAUAGAGCCAGACCAUGAGAGGGAUUCUUAUCCUUAUCUUCUCUAGGAUCGUCAUCCUGUGUAGAGUGAAUCGGCUCGGUGUUCGGAUGGAACGGAAACACCAACAGUCCUGCCAUUGUUGGACUGUUGGUGGUGCUUAUCCUUGCGUCAGGGGAGAAUUUUGAGGGUGAGGGAGACCAAAACAAACCCUACGGGUUCCGUGGGUAGCUAAUGCAACCUUGAACUUAGCUUGUGUGCGGCGAUUUUUUCUUUGCAGGGGGUGCUCUCUGUUUCCAAAGGAAGAAUGUUCUCUAUUUCCAAAGGAAGAAGACAGUGAACAACAAUGACGAACGACAUCGUUUUGGACUGGAAAUGGCCAUUUCUCAACUUGGUCCUCCAAGUUUCAACAUUUUUUAAUCGGGCCCUGGAUAAAAUUUCGGUGCCUUUUACAAAAAGGUCCCUGGAACUUAAUCACUUGUAAUUUUAUCCUUAAUAAACUCAGAAAUUUAAUAUUUGUUCAACUAUAUCCCUGGUUUCAUUAAUUAAACUAAUUCUAAGCUUAAUUAAGUCCUCAAACUUAUCUAUUCUUUAAUCAAACUCCUGAUAUCAUUAAUUAAACCCAAACAAAGUUUUAUUGAACUCCAUACCAGCUAAUUUUUUUAAUUUCUUUAAAAAUUAACAUCCAAAAUCAUAAAUUAAACAUGAUUAAACCCAUCAGAGCUUUUCAUUUAUGUUGUCUUGAUCAAAAUCUUAAUUUUUCAUUCAUUUUUUUAUUUUGAAUUUUAUAUUGUUUAAAAUUGAGUUAUAAUAAGUGGACCGAGCUUUUUGGUCUCAAAUCCAUAAAUUUGUUACCAAUUGACCUACCUCAUUUGGCAAGUGUGAGAUCUAUCUUCAGUGAAAUCUACUAGGUGAAUCAAAAUCCAUAAAAAAGAAGAAAAAAAAACAGAGAAAGAGUGAUAAAACUAACUACCACACCAAACAAAUAAAGAGGUUAUGCAGGCAGUCUUUCCUAAUCAAAUAAUAAAACUGAAAACAACACAAGGAGGUUUGUGGAGACAGCUACCUGCUGAUAUGCUUGUUUGCUUGCGUGUCUGGUUUUGUAAUUACACUGUUAUGAGCAGUUAACUCCUCUUUGGUGGCUUCGAAGGAAUUGAUAAUUUUAGACUUUAUUUUGAUUUAUCAUCCUCCUACAUAUUUCUCUCUUUGUUGGCUUCGAAGAAAGAGUUCAGCUUGGCCUGUAGCGGGUGCGGUAUAAUAUAUCCUCCUAAAUAAACUCUUUUUUUUUUUUUUUAAAGCGAUUUAAAUGGCCUAAACUGGAUGGGUAUUGGAUUUCAAUCUACAUUUUCAUAAAGCGUAGUUGGUCAAACAUUUGUAAUCGGUCGCUGCAAGAAAGACCCGUGAUUCGUUAAAAGUCCGAAAUAUCUUCCUAUUGAUGCACCGACGGCUUUCAAACUUGGCAUGUUCCUAGCUAGCAUAACAUAAAGAAGGAGAAGCAAAAUCUACACAAGUAUCAUUUGUAACUUGUAUAAAUGAUUGAAAAUUGAUCUUACAUAUUUCGCUACUGAAAUUACAUUAAUUCAAGUAUCCAUGUUAACAUCUAUGGCUUGAAUAAUACACAAAACAGAAACUACAGAAGGGUUCCACCCGAGACAUACUCGGUGCAGGCCAACGCAACCAAACCCAACAUCGCAAAUCUACCGUUCCACAUCUCAGCAUCAGAUGUCAUUACGCCAUCUGACUUGGACUCCGCGCUGACCCCUUUGAAUAGUGGGAUCAAAGACGCGACAGAGAGAAGAAUACUUGUUCCGACGAACCACGAGACUCCACCGUUAGAUAUCUGAGAGAAAAGGUCUUGGCCCUUGGACAGUUCCACUGCCAUUGCAGCGACAAAGCCUAUCAUGGCAAGCCUGCCAUUGAUCCUCUCUGGUGCGGGUCCGCUAAAUGCCAACACAUCAGUGAAUUUUGUGCUGACCUGUUAAUCAUCAUCACGCGUGCGUUUACAUUAGAAGUGUAAGCAUAAAUGCAAUAAAAAAGUCCAUGCUCUACUUAAAUUGUUAAAAUUAAACAUUUCCGAAAUAACUCAUGCCGUAUAAUUAAUCCUGUACCUUUGGCUUAGGAGGAGGACUUGGCUCUGCUGACAUAUUCUGGUCAUCCUGCAAAUUGAAUCAAAUGUUAACACAAUCCUAUGAACCAUCACCUAAACUACACACAAAGGAAGUCGAAAUAGAAUCCAAACUCACCAGCUCGGCCUUGCACUGCACCCGUUUGCUAGCACUGCCACGUAGUGGCACAUACGUAGCAGAAAACAAGUUGCUCACUCGAGACCGGUUUUUCACCAGACUACUGGCUACUGGAGAAGCAAGGACGGUCUGCAUUACUGUUGACGUGGCCAUCACUUAGAACAAUGUUUAUCACUCGAUAUGUGAUUAAGAAACUUAAUCAAUAUCUAAACUGUGAAAGCUAUUCUAAUGCUAGAGGCAACGUUCAGUAAGCGAUAUCACUACCAGUGAGUUGAAGCUCGAGCUAUUUGCUUUGUAUCUGAUAGUGGUUUGGUAGGCUGUUAUAUAGCCGAUGGGGCAAGAGAGGAGAGGGCAUUUUGCUUCCACGUCAUCCAUAUCUAAUGAAAAGGCCGAUUGGAUCACGUGGCUUCGGCUGUCUUCACAUGGUCAAGUGGGUUACGUGGACUCCUCACAGUCACUAGUGGAUCCCCACCCCAUUUAAGAAGCUGAGGCCAAUGUUGUUCUAGGUUUUUCAGCUGAGCAGCGACCACGGCAUAGUAACCGAACUGGACUCAGCCACGAUUUUACCGCAUUAAUUUGACACGUUGAAUCACAUAACCUGACAAACGAAUAUUAGUAUAUACUAAAAAACUUUUGAUGUUUUCUCCAGGGAGGUAUUCUUAUAAAUUUUAUAAUUACUAAAACUUAUUUGAUUAUUAAUUUUAGUGUUUUAAAAGAUUGUUGAAGAUGCAUGUAAACUGACGGGACAUUGAUGAUUAUCAAGAUAAAAAAUUUAUGAUGCUUAUGAGUUUUUUCUUCUUUUUAUAUUUGUAUUUUAUGUAAUAAAUACUCCAUAAUUAAAUUUUUUAGUUUUAUAAAAUUUUAAGCAAAAGUAAGUGUGUGAUUUAUAGAACAAUGCAAAUAUUUUAUGUAAAAGUAUUUAUUAAAGAGAAAAUUAUCCAAAGUAUCAUAUAGUUUACUUAAUUUUACAUUUUGCUUUAAUUAUUUUAUGAAUUACUGAAAUUAUUCUUGAUCAACCAAAAAUUUUAAAUCGUUUGAAAUGAUCAAAUUAACCUCUUUGUGUUGUAAUCUCUUGAAAAUUUGUUUCUUGUUGUGUGCUAUUAUAACUAUGGUAAAAAGAUGUCGUAGAUCAAGACAUGGUCAAAGGAGUAAGGAGGAUCCUUCUUAGGAGAGAAACAUCGAGAAGCUUGUCAUAAAGGACAUUCAAAGGUAAACACAAAGUUGACUCAUGGGUUAGAGGAUAAGGAUUUAUAAAACCAAAAUUAAAAGAGUGAUCAUGUGUCCCUAGCCAAUACUGAAAACCAAAGACAUGAUCAUGAAAUAUAACCUCUUGAUUAGGAAGAGAUCAACUUUAGGAAUUUUUGGUUUCGCGUUAAAAUCCAUGAAUUCGGAGAAACUUUAUAAGUAAAGGAUUUCAUAGAAUAGAUAAAUAGGGUAAAAUGAAUUUUUUAGUAUAAAGAGGUUCUCGAAUAUAUGUGAGGGAAGUGUUGAUUGUGAUUAGAAUAAAAGGUAGAGUUUCUACUUAGUGAGAUCAGUUAAAAGGGAAAAGAGAGAGACAAGAAAAGCUGAGAAUAAUGAUUUAGAAAAGAUGAAGAAGAAACUAAGAGAACACUUUCUUCCAUUUGGCUAUGCCCAAACCCUGUACUUAAGGUUUCACAUGUUAAAAUAAAUAGACAUUAGGUCAUGGUUUUGGUUUUGUUUUCGGGAUUUGUUGUUAUAGUUGUGGUGAGUUAAGGUAUCAAGCUAGCUAAUGAGAAUGCAUUAAAAAACUAGAAAGUUACAUAGGAAAAAAUAUGUUGAUAGAGGAACUUGCAAAUAACAUGGAUGAUCUUAUUUAAAAUAACUCUGACAACAAUGAAGAGACUUUAAAUGGGAAUAGUAGUACUAUACUAGUUGUCUGAAAAAUCAUUUUGUCACCCGAUGGUGAUUAAGGAUAGAAUUGGUUGUGUUCUAAAAUCUUCCAAAUAAUAUGUACUGUUAACAACAAGAUAUGCAAUCUAAUCAUCGUCGGUGGUAGUUAUGAGAAUAUAGAGUUAGUUGAAGUGUUAGAAAAAUUACAGCUUAACAUAGAAAAACUCUUCAUCCCUUACAAACUAAUGUCGCGCCCCCCCCCCCAAAAAAAAUAUUCAAAUACACAUCCAUUGCGGGUUCGACUGGCGAAAAUUUGUUUAUUUUUAUUUUUAUUUGAUUCUUUGGAGUCGCCACCUAGUAUUUUGGUCACUAGGAACCUAACUGGUCUCAGAGAUCGGGUACGGAGACUGGUUGCGUAAAGGGAAGGUAUUAGCACCCCAAAUACGCCUUACCUAAGGUAAGCUGCAUUGUUUUAAAUGUCUGAUAAAAAAAAAACUAAAGUGUUAUUGUGUUUUUCUAGUUGUUGGUCUGUCUAUGGUUCAAGAAAAAUCCCCCUCAGUAAGGAGGUCUUUAUCUUAUCGGGUAAAAAUCCUAACCGUUCUAACGUCCAUACCAAAAUUUUACUAAUAAUAUUUAGGAAUACGUUUUACGUAUAAAUUCGUAAUCCCAAAUAUUAAAAGAAAACAAAAAGAAUGUUUUAGAAUUUUUGAAAUAUUGGCCUAGUUCUCAUGGCUUGAAUAAAUUGGUUAUUAAAGCCAAAAUGCAUGUUAAUACAUAUAUUGUUUUUUUGAAAAAAAAAAAUAAUUUGUUGUAUGAAAAUAUGAUGUUAUAAUAUUUAUGUAUAUAUAUUGGAGAGACUAGGCCGUAUUUAAAAACAAAAACAAUUUUUGAAAAAUAUUAUUUUGUUAUGCUUUGACGAAAAUCAUAAUGGGUAUAUUUUAAAAAUACUGAGCUUGUAUCCUUACGGUAUAAAAAUACAACCCAAUAUUAAUCUAUUUUGAUAAAAUAUGCAGAAAAAUCAACAACAGUUUUUAGGAAAUUUUUAGAAAAUUUUUUGAAAAGCAAAACAUUUUUUAUUCUGAAAAUCUUUGAUGUUUUGACGAAAAAACCGGGUAUUUUAAUACUGGUUUUGUAUCUUUACAAAAAAAAAUACAAACCAGAAGUAAAACAUUUUUGAAAAAAUAUGCAGAAAAAAUCAACAAUAUUUUUUUUUAGAUUUUUUUUUUUUUGUUUUUUAUACAUUAAAUACAUUUUUUAUAUAUUAUAUUAUAUAUUUUAUAUAUUAAAAGGGCUGGGCCGGCCCAAACUAAACUGGGCCGGACCCAGCCCAACAGUCGUUGGGCCGAACUCGGCCCAACAGGUACUGGGCCGAACUCGGCCCAGGUACUGGGAACUCGGCCCAAAUAAUUAACCUCGGUCUGGGCCGGACCCGGCCCAGACCGCCGGACUGGGCCAGAUCUCUCUGGCCCGGUCCACAUAGUUCUGGGCCAGACAAAGUCUGGCCCAGAGGAAAUAAAAAACGCAGCGGGGGGGAUUAUUUCCCCCCCGUCCCCAAGAACGAUGCAGGAAGAAAAAAAAAAAAAAAAAUGUGCAGGGGGAGGGACGCGUACCUGGCACGGCGGAGACGGCGGCUUGCUGGCGGUGCUGCUGCGGAGACGGUGGCAGCUUGGCUUACGGACGGCGGGUCAGGCGGUUUUCUCUCUCUCUCCUCCCUUCGGGUCUCUCUCUCUCUUUUUCUUCUUCUCUCCUCUCGGCCUCUCUCUAUUUAUAAGCAAAAAGGAAACGGUUAGUGCGCCUUCAAUCACGCAACGGCUGGUCGGCCACUCUUGCUUUCGGUGGUGGUGGUGGGGCGAGGAGAGAGAGAGAGGCGGGAAGUUUUGAAAAAAAGAAAAAAUGGUUUCGUCUCUGUUUCCGCGGGGGGAAAGGAAGAAGACGAACAGUGUCGUUCAAAACGACACCGUUCUGUCUUCUUCUUUUUUUUUUUUUUUUUAUUAUAUAUAUAUAUGAAACGGCGUCGUUUUGGAUAAAACGCGCCGUUUCAUUUAAACGGGUCAAACUUCAAAACAGUCCUCCAAAUCGGUCCCUGCCCCUCUUGUUGGCCGCCUUUUUCAUUUUGGUCCUUGGCAUCUGAUUUAUGCAAUUUAGCCCUCAAUUGAUUAAUAAACUUUCAAUUUCUUCAAUUAGGCCCCUGAAACGAAAAAUUAGCAGCCCCUCCAUUUACGCGCCUCUUCCAAUUUGGUCCCUGGUUUCGGAUUUUCACAAUUAAGUCCCUAAUUGGCCCUUAAACUUCAAUUUUUAUGCAAUUGAGCCCUGAUUUGACCCAAUAAAUUCCUAAAAAAAUAUUUUGGCCCCAGAACUUAAAUUUCUCCAAAUUAAAGCCCAAAUUGACUUAAAAAUUAAUUUUUCUUGCAAUCAAAUCUUCUAUAAAUUCAAAUAAAAAUCCGAUUAAGUCCAUAAAAAUCCAAUUAAGCCCAUAAAAAUCCAAUUAAGCCCAUAAAAAUCCAAAUUUGGGCUUUUCUCCCUAAAAUUCCAAUUUUUCUUCUCAAUAGGGCUUUCAUCCUUCAAGAAUAUACUGUCAAAAAUUCAAUCCUUGUAUUUUUAAAGUCCUUGACCAAUUUUCUGACUGUUUUCCGGGCGCUUCUGCCUCCGGUUAUUUUUCUAACCUCUUUUGGCUAUUUAUUUUAUUUUUUAGGGGGACCCAAAAAUGGGUUACAACAACUAAAAUAGCUAAAUGAAAACAACAAGGUUGUCGCACGUCACCCUCGCGCGGCUUCCGAUGGCGAUUUUUCUCGUUAUGCGUUUUUGCUUGAUUCAGUUCUUUAGAGUCGUCACCUAGUAUUUUGGUCACUAGGAACCCUAACUGGUCUUUCAGAGAUUCUAAGGCAAGGAACUGGUUGCGUAAAGAGAAGGUAUUAGCAUCCCUAAUACGCUCUACCUAAGGUAAGCUGCAUGGUGUUUGGUUUAUCUUAUAAUUGCUAUGGUGUUGGUGUUUUCUAAUCCCAUCAGUUUUUCUAUGAUAGGUUUCCUAUGAUGAACAAACUUGGACUCAAAGUCUAAAAAAAAAAAGAACCCUUGGUCAAUGUGGAUCACACCUUUAGAUAUGUCUACAAAGUACCAAGGAGAACCAAUGCAGAUCUCUUGAAAUCUGUGUUUGAUUCAAGUUAAAUUUAUUAAGAUAGAAAUCCAAGGAGAUUUCAUGUGCUGUAAAAGCUCAUCUUUCCCUUAGUAUUUCAAGAGUUUGCGACUCGUAAAUCGCAAGAAUGAAGGACAAAUAUUUAGAAAUCUAAGGAAAUUCAAAGCGCUUUAAAAGCCUCCUUUUGCCUUAGUAUUUCAUACUUUCACGGCUCGUAAACCGUGGAGUCAAAAUUUAAAAUUUUGAAAUGUCCUCAAUUAUAAUCAAGGCUUCUCUCAAAGAUGUAUGCGGAUUUAUUACUCCCAAUAAUAUUUUGGAUAUUCAUCAUUUAAAGAUUUCUUUAUCCAAAUAUUAGCGGUGAAUAAUAAAUGAAUUCCCUCCAAAAUAAGAUUUUUAUAGUUUUUGGAAUAUUGGCCAAUACCCUUUGGAGUUUUACAAACAUGUUGUAAAAUCCAGAAAUACAAGAAAACAAAUUUUUUGAUGUUUAAGAAAUCCAUGCAAAAACACAUUCUUAAAACUUCCAAUAUUUUUUGUAUAUAAAAAAAUAUUCAAAACAUGUUAGGAUAUUGGCCGUAUGCAACAAAAAAAAAAACAUUUUUUAUAUUUUCUUUGCAAAAUACACAUAGUUAAUCGCAAUUAAAAUCCAAAAACCACAUAUUAAUCAAAUUCUUAAGGCUUUAAUAAAUCAACUAUUAAAUCCCAGAAUAUAUAUAGAAACAUGUUUUUAUAUUUUCCCGAGAAAUACAACAUAAUUUUAUUUGUCCUUCAGAUACCAUAUGUCAAAUUAGAAACUUAAUUCAUUUUUUUGUCUUUUAUUGAUUUUUAUCAUUCAAAUAACAUAAAUAAAAAUACAAACACACACACAUUUUUUAUUAUUAUUUUUCUUAUACAUAUUUUACGUGUAAAACAAAUAACAAAAUUUCAAAAAAAUCAAAUACAAUUUAAUUAUUACCAAAUAAACCCCAAAAACUCCAGGAAUUGGUGGGAACAUCUUCUAGGAUCCGCCGGAAUAGUGACGGAAGGUUUCUGGGCUCGGGAACAGUGGCGCACGUUUCUCCACUAGCGGAUCCCAGAAAAAUAAUGUUAACAUAUAAGCUACUGAAAUUAUAAGUUAUAUAGAUGAUUGAAAAUUGAUCUUAUAUAAUUUGCUACUGAAAUUACAUUGAUUCAAGUAUCCAUGUUAACAUAUAAGCUUGAAUAAUACACAAAAACAGGAACUACAGAAGCGUUCUACCCGAGACAAACUCGGUGAAGGCCAGCGCAACCAAACCCAACAUCGCAAAUCUACCGUUCCACAUCUCAGCAUCAGAUGUCAUGACGCCCUCUGACUUGGAUUCCACGCUGACCCCUUUGAAUAGUGGGAUCAAAGACGCGACAGAGAGAAGAAUACUUGUUCCGACGAACCACGAGACUCCACCGUUAGAUAUCUGAGAGAAAAGGUCUUGGCCCUUGGACAGUUCCACUGCCAUUGCAGCGACAAAGCCUAUCAUGGCAAGCCUGCCAUUGAUCCUCUCUGGUGCGGGUCCGCUAAAUGCCAACACAUCAGCGAAUUUUGUGCUGACCUGUUAAUCAUCAUCACGCGUGCGUUUACAUUAGAAGUGUAAGCAUAAAUGCAAUCAAAAAGUCCUUGCUCUAAUUAAAUUGUUAAAAUUAAACAUUUCCGAAAUAACUCAUGACAUAUAAUUAGUCCUGUACCUUUGGCUUAG
rnacentral:lncRNA from 1 species